rnacentral:rRNA from 1 species
GAUCCUGGCUCAGGAUGAACGCUGGCGGCGUGCUUAACACAUGCAAGUCGAGCGAAGCACUUAAGUUAGAUUCUUCGGAUGAAGACUUUUGUGACUGAGCGGCGACGGGUGAAGGUAACGCGUGGGUAACCUGCCUCAUACAGGGGGAUAACAGUUAGAAAUGGCUGCUAAUACCGCAUAAGACCACAGUACUGCAUGGUACAGUGGUAAAAACUCCGGUGGUAUGAGAUGGACCCGCGU